CGGACGGGUGAGUAACGCGUGGGUAACCUGCCUCAUACAGGGGGAUAACAGUUAGAAAUGACUGCUAAAACCGCAUAAGCGCACAAGACCGCAUGGUUUGGUGUGAAAAACUCCGGUGGUAUGAGAUGGACCCGCGUCUGAUUAGCUAGUUGGAGAGGUAGCGGCUCACCAAGGCGACGAUCAGUAGCCGACCUGAGAGGGUGACCGGCCACAUUGGGACUGAGACACGGCCCAAACUCCUACGGGAGGCAGCAG
rnacentral:rRNA from 1 species